CCUACGGGUGGCAGCAGUGGGGAAUAUUGCACAAUGGUGGAAACACUGAUGCAGCAACGCCGCGUGAGUGAGGAAGUAUCUCGGUAUGUAAAGCUCUAUUUGCAGGGAAUAGAAAACAAGGUACCUGCAAAAGAAGACCCGGCGAACUACGUGCCAGCAGCCGCGGUAAUACGGAGGGGGCAAGCGGUAUCCGGAUUUACUGGGUGUAACGGGAGUGUUGACGGGAAGGAAAGUCACAAGGGAAAUCUCAAGGCUGAACCAUGGGACUGCUGUUGAACCUGGCAAUCUAGUGUAGGGGAGAGGUAUGAGGAAUGCGUGGUGUAGCGGUGAAAUGCGUAGAUAUUAGGAGGAACACC
rnacentral:rRNA from 1 species